rnacentral:lncRNA from 1 species
CUCUAACAUCACAAUCAGCACACCAACCUACUAUGGUCCAUGGGUUCUCUUUGGGACAGGGCCUGGUCCCAAGUAUCCCGGGCCAGCCCAGGCCCUGCCUGUUGAAGAAAUAAUUUCUGUUGCAGCUGACCUCUUGGCUACAGGCAAGAACCUAGAGGAUGUCAGGAGAGGAGAGUAUAGAAUCAUGCAGCAAAAGCAUCACUGUAAGAAAAACCAGCAGUUAUAGGCUGGUUGAAACAGUACUGAAUUGAAG